CAGUAGCCACGGUAAUACGAAGGGUGCAAGCGUUACUCGGAAUUACUGGGCGUAAAGCGUGCGUAGGUGGUGGUUUAAGUCCGUUGUGAAAGCCCUGGGCUCAACCUGGGAAUUGCAGUGGAUACUGGGUCACUAGAGUGUGGUAGAGGAUAGUGGAAUUUCUGGUGUAGCAGUGAAAUGCGUAGAGAUCGGAAGGAACAUCUGUGGCGAAGGCGACUAUCUGGGCCAACACUGACACUGAGGCACGAAAGCGUGGGGAGCAAACAGGAUUAGAUACCCCAGUAGUCCCUGUCUCUUAUAC
rnacentral:rRNA from 1 species